AGCCCUAUCACCCGGAAGAAGAACAUUGCGCCCCAGGUAGCGGAUCAAUUGACAUCACUCCCUUUUUGGGAAGGUAGCGGAUCAAUAGGACCAAUCUCAGGUCGGGAAGUGCUUGGUUUGAGCCCUGCCGUGCCAACUGGGCGUAGUUGGGAGUCAGCUCGGUCUCUUAGAAUGACCACCGUUGCUUGUGUCUUCGCCUUCUUGCCAGACGUCCCAGCAGCAGCGGCUGCAGACC
rnacentral:misc_RNA from 1 species